rnacentral:rRNA from 1 species
AUUGUCCUCUGCACAAGAGAGAAUGCCGGUAUGAGUAGCGAGAGGCAUGCGAGAAACAUGCCCGUCGAAAGCCCAAGGUUUCCUGGGGAAGGUUCAUCCGCCAGGGUAAGUCGGGGCCUAAGCCGAGGACGGAAGUCGUAGGCGAUGGACAGCAGGUGUAGAUUCCUGCACUACCGAUGGAAUGAAGCAGUGACACAGAAGGAUAACUCGAGCAGGGUGAUGGUCAACCCUGUGCAAGCAUCAAGGUUGGGUUGUAGUGAAGUACGCAACCCUAUAAGCUGAGGUGUGAUGCGGACCGAAAUUUCAGUAGGGAAGCGAGUGAGUUCACGCUGGCGAGAAAAGCUGCUAGUACAUCCAAAGGUACCCGUACCGGAAACCGACGCAGGUGGGCGAGGAGAGAAUCCUGAGACGAACGGGAGAACCCUUGUUAAGGAACUCGGCAAAAUGACCCCGUAACUUCGGGAUAAGGGGUGCCUGCGAGAGCAGGCCGCAGAGAAUAGUCACAAGCGACUGUUUAGCAAAAACACAGGUAUCUGCGAAAGCGAGAGCUGACGUAUAGGUGCUGACACCUGCCCGGUGCUGGAAGGUUAAGGGAACAUGUUAGAGCAAUCGAAGCAUCGAACCGAAGCCCCAGUAAACGGCGGCCGUAACAAUAACGGUCCUAAGGUAGCGAAAUUCCUUGUCGGGUAAGUUCCGACCCGCACGAAUGGUGUAACGACUUGUGAGCUGUCUCAACGGGGGGCCCGGUGAAAUUGAAGUAUGGGUGAAGAUGCCCAUUACCCGCGACUGGACGGAAAGACCCCGUAGAGCUUUACUGCAGCCUGAUAUUGAGUUUCGGUAACUGAUGCACAGGAUAGGUGGGAGUCUGAGAGACAUGGGUUUCGGCUCAUGUGGAGACGGUGUUGGGAUACCACUCUUCGGUUACUGAAAUUCUAACAUAGCUCUGUGAAACCAGAGGAUGGACAGUGUCAGGUGGACAGCUUGACUGGGGCGGUCGCCUCCGAAAGAGUAACGGAGGCGCCCAAAGGUACCCUCAGAAUGGAUGGAAACCAUUCGAAGAGCGCAAAGGCAGAAGGGUGCCUGACUGCGAGAUUGACAAAUCGAGCAGAGACGAAAGUCGGGCUUAGUGAUCCGGCGGUAUUGAGUGGAAAAGCCGUCGCUUAACGGAUAAAAGCUACCUCGGGGAUAACAGGCUGAUCUCCCCCAAGAGUCCACAUCGACGGGGAGGUUUGGCACCUCGAUGUCGGCUCGUCGCAUCCUGGGGCUGAAGCAGGUCCCAAGGGUUUGGCUGUUCGCCAAUUAAAGCGGCACGCGAGCUGGGUUCAGAACGUCGUGAGACAGUUCGGUCCCUAUCCAUCGUGGGCGUAGGAGUCAUGAGAGGAGCUGUUCCUAGUACGAGAGGACCGGAAUGGACGCACCACUGGUGCAACUGUUGUCGUGCCAACGGCAUAGCAGGGAAGCGAAGUGCGGAUGGGAUAAACGCUGAAGGCAUCUAAGCGUGAAGCCCACCUCAAGAAUAAGACUCCACAAUAGACCCCUGGAGGACUACCAGGUAGAUAGGUCAUCGGUGGAAGCGCUGUAAGGCGUGUAGCUUGAUGAUACUAAUCGGUCGAAAGCUAA